UUCGCAAUGCCCGAAAGGGUGACGAAGCGACGCCGCGUGGGUGAAGAAGGCCUUCGGGUUGUAAAGCCCUGUCAGGAGUUAUGAAAUGCAAGUGCGCUAAUAUCGUGCUUAUUUGACAAAGGCUCCAAAGGAAGCCACGGCUAACUCUGUGCCAGCAGCCGCGGUAAUACAGAGGUGGCGAGCGUUGUUCGGAAUUAUUGGGCGUAAAGAGCACGUAGGUGGGUUUGCAAGUCAGAUGUGAAAGCCUUCUGUUCAACGGAAGAAUUGCAUCUGAAACUGCUAAUCUUGAGUGUAGGAGGGGAGAAUGGAACUUCUGGUGGAGCGGUGAAAUGCGUAGAUAUCAGAAGGAACGCCGGCGGCGAAAGCGAUUCUCUGGCCUAUUACUGACACUCAGUGUGCGAAAGCUAGGGGAGCAAACGGGAUUAGAUACCCCGGUAGUCCUAGCCGUAAACGAUGGGCACUAAGUAGAGGGGUUUU
rnacentral:rRNA from 1 species